UACGUAGGGUGCGAGCGUUGUCCGGAAUUAUUGGGCGUAAAGAGCUCGUAGGCGGUUUGUCGCGUCGGCCGUGAAAUCUCCACGCUUAACGUGGAGCGUGCGGUCGAUACGGGCAGACUUGAGUUCGGUAGGGGAGACUGGAAUUCCUGGUGUAGCGGUGAAAUGCGCAGAUAUCAGGAGGAACACCGGUGGCGAAGGCGGGUCUCUGGGCCGAUACUGACGCUGAGGAGCGAAAGUGUGGGGAGCGAACAGG
rnacentral:rRNA from 1 species